rnacentral:rRNA from 1 species
UUUAACACAUGCAAGUCGAGGGGCAGCGGGAUUGAAGCUUGCUUCAAUUGCCGGCGACCGGCGCACGGGUGAGUAACGCGUAUCCAACCUUCCGUACACUCAGGGAUAGCCUUUCGAAAGAAAGAUUAAUACCUGAUGGUAUGAUGAGAUUGCAUGAUAGCAUCAUUAAAGAUUUAUCGGUGUACGAUGGGGAUGCGUUCCAUUAGGUAGUAGGCGGGGUAACGGCCCACCUAGCCAACGAUGGAUAGGGGUUCUGAGAGGAAGGUCCCCCACAUUGGAACUGAGACACGGUCCAAACUCCUACGGGAGGCAGCAGUGAGGAAUAUUGGUCAAUGGACGAGAGUCUGAACCAGCCAAGUAGCGUGAAGGAUGAAGGUCCUACGGAUUGUAAACUUCUUUUAUAAGGGAAUAAACCCUCCCACGUGUGGGAGCUUGUAUGUACCUUAUGAAUAAGCAUCGGCUAACUCCGUGCCAGCAGCCGCGGUAAUACGGAGGAUGCGAGCGUUAUCCGGAUUUAUUGGGUUUAAAGGGAGCGCAGACGGGUCGUUAAGUCAGCUGUGAAAGUUUGGGGCUCAACCUUAAAAUUGCAGUUGAUACUGGCGUCCUUGAGUGCGGUUGAGGUGUGCGGAAUUCGUGGUGUAGCGGUGAAAUGCUUAGAUAUCACGAAGAACUCCGAUUGCGAAGGCAGCACACUAAUCCGUAACUGACGUUCAUGCUCGAAAGUGUGGGUAUCAAACAGGAUUAGAUACCCUGGUAGUCCACACGGUAAACGAUGGAUACUCGCUGUUGGCGAUAUACUGUCAGCGGCUUAGCGAAAGCGUUAAGUAUCCCACCUGGGGAGUACGCCGGCAACGGUGCAACUCAAAUGAAUUGACGG